CCCGCGUGGUGGAAUGGUAGACACACGAGACUUAAAAUCUUGCGGCGGCGACGCCGUGCCGGUUCGAGUCCGGCCGCGGGCACCA
rnacentral:tRNA from 1 species